AUUGAACGCUGGCGGCAGGCCUAACACAUGCAAGUCGAACGCGUGGCGGACGGGUGAGUAAUGUCGGGGAAACUGCCUGAUGGAGGGGGAUAACUACUGGAAACGGUAGCUAACACCGCAUAACAUGGGAUGUGCCAAGAGGGGAUUAGCUAGUAGGUGGGGUAAAGGCUCACCUAGGCGACGAUCCCGAGCUGGGCUGAGAGGAUGACCAGCCACACUGUAACUGGGACACGGUCCAGACUCCUACGGGAGGCAGCAGUGGGGAAUAUUGCACAAUGGGCGCAAGCCUGAUACAGCCAUGCCGCGUGUAUGAAGAAGGCCUUCGGGUUGUAAAGUACUUUCAGCGGGGAGGCGUUACCCGCAGAAGAAGCACCGGCUAACUCCGUGCCAGCAGCCGCGGUAAUUC
rnacentral:rRNA from 1 species